UUAGGAAUUUUGGGCAAUGGGCGCAAGCCUGACCCAGCAACGCCGCGUGGGUGAUGACGGCCUUCGGGUUGUAAAGCCCUUUUCCCAGGGAAGAUAGUGACGGUACCUGGGGAAUCAGCCCCGGCUAACUACGUGCCAGCAGCCGCGGUAAUACGUAGGGGGCAAGCGUUGUCCGGAUUUAUUGGGCGUAAAGCGCUCGCAGGCGGUUUCAUGCGUCGUGCGUGAAAGACCCCGGCUCAACUGGGGAGGGUCGUGCGAUACGGUGGAACUCGAGGCCAGUAGGGGGACGCGGAAUUCCGGGUGUAGUGGUGGAAUGCGUAGAGAUCCGGAGGAACACCAGCGGCGAAGGCGGCGUCCUGGACUGGUACUGACGCUCAGGAGCGAAAGCGUGGGGAGCGAUCCG
rnacentral:rRNA from 1 species